GCCCUUGUAGCUCAGCGGAUAGAGCGAGGCUCUUCUAAGGCCUGCGUCAGAGGUUCGAUUCCUUUCAGGGGCG
rnacentral:tRNA from 1 species